CUCGAUAGCAGGAGAGGUGGUGCAUGGCCGUCGUCAGCUCGUACCGUAGGGCGUUCACUUAAGUGUGAUAACGAGCGAGACCCCCAUCUUCAAUUGCUAAGCUAACCGUGAGGUUGGUAGAACUUUGAAGGGACCGCCAGUGCAGAACUGGAGGAAGGAGGGGUCGACGGCAGGUCAGUACGCCCCGAAUCUUCCGGGCAACACGCGCGCUACAAAGGACAGGACAAUGGGCUGCGACCUCGAAAGGGGAAGCCAAUCCCGAAACCUGUUCGUAGUUAGGAUUGAGGGCUGUAACUCGCCCUCAUGAAUCUGGAUUCCGUAGUAAUCGCGGGUCAACAUCCCGCGGUGAAUAUGACCCCUGCUCCUUGCACACACCGCCUGUCAAACCAUCCGAGCUAGGUGUUGGAUGAGGUUAGUUCGAAAGGGUUGAUUCGAAUCUGAUGUCAGUGAGGAGGGUUAAGUCAUAACAAGGUAUCCGUAGGGGAACCUGCGGAUGGAUCA
rnacentral:rRNA from 1 species